ACUAUCUUCAUUCUGAUGAUAUUUUGAGUAGGAAUCUCAUUGAGCCUCAGUCAUUCGUUGCUUUGAAAUUAAUUUUGUCUCUCACUGACUGCAAUCAU
rfam:Drosophila simulans chromosome 3L, whole genome shotgun sequence.